rnacentral:rRNA from 1 species
AUGCUGUCGGCGCGGAGCCUGCGGAAGGCGUCCAUCCCGCCGUCCCUUCUCUCCGACCCCUCGCCCGGCUGCCUCCAGCCCACGCGCCUCGCCGUCCACGUCAAUGGCGACGGCGGCUCCUGCUCCGCCUACUUCGCCUCCGGUUGCCGCGUCUACAAGCUCGAGAUAUCCAUGGAAGAGGAGAUGCUGUCCAGAGGAAAAGAGAGCCUGUUGAUUCCUAUCAAUGCACAGGUCAUAAGCUCGUCGGUUGUGGACCGCUGCCCGCAUCGUUCGGAGAUUCAGAGUGUAGUUCUGGCUGAGGGUGAAGGUGAUAGCUGCUUGAUUUUGGGAACCGUCGACUCUUAUGGUCACCUCAUUGUAUCCCGUUUGGACACUGUGGCUGAGGACAUCGACAGGGCAUCCUAUUCAGUACCACCUCACGAUAGUGGUGUCGGAGAAGGAAGUUGGGCUGGGUUGUGUUUUAGUCCAACACACCAUUCCACGGUAGCUGUUGCUCGUGAAUUGUGUAAGAGCAUUGAUAUCUAUGAUCAAGAUAUUCAUAUUCGGAGUUUACGUACGUUAUGGUACCCAUCUUCAGUAAGGUUUCCUCAAUGCUUUCCUCAAGGGAGUGAAUGUAGCUCGAUAUUGGCAAUUACUGAAGGUCCUCAGCUGAGCAUCUGGGACUUCAGAAUGCAUAACAACGGUGGAUGUGUACAACGCGUUUCUGGUCCUACUGGAGGCAUACUAUACUCAGUCUGUACCUCUCCUUCAGGACUGAUUGCUGUCGGUGGAACUGAUCGUGCUGUAACAAUCUAUGAUCCUCGCAGGUGGUCGGCCUUAUCAAGAUGGGUGGGCUGCUCCAAGUAUGAGAUAACUGGUCUUUCGUUUUCGUCAGUGGACCAAUCCUUCAUAUACGUCCAAGGUGUUGAUUAUGAGAUUACCUGUGGACGCUGGAGAGAAAGUGAGCGUGCAUUCUCAUUCCGAGGUGAUUCGAACUGGCUGGGCUUUUCAAAGUGUGCGAACACAGAUGUGGUUGCUGGGUGGUGCGAGUCUGGAAGUAUCUUCGUUGCUGAUGUUAGGCAGGAUCUCUCGGUAAUUGGGGUUUAA